ACAGACUCAGUGAAGUGGCCGAGAUGGGUGCCGUUGCCGUGUCCGGCUCUUCCACUAAAAACUAGAAGAAAACAAAAAAAGUCAACAAAGUUUUCCUACACACUUGUGUUAUGAUAUAUAAUCUGUUGCCGUCUUCAAUUCUGUGUUAUUUAGAUAGAGGUGCAGUAAUGGUUCACUACUUUCAGAUGAUUGGCUGUUUCUGGCGACCCCAGAAGAUAUCGUUAUUCUCUCAGUGCCGUGAGAAAUUAGUAACCACAGCAACGACGUCAAUCAAGUAACUAUAUACCUAAGUGGGCGGAUUGCACGAUUUUUCGGAACAGAUAAUAAAAUAACGGGUGGCUUGUUCGGCAUCUGAGAUAAGAUAAUUCAAAGAAGGGGGUAUACAUGUGUAAGAAUCUGGGGACGUUCGUCACUCAGCGGGAAAAAGUCGGAUUAAUUACACAGGCGUGUCAGCCCACAGUGACAGGAAUUAACGAAUCAUCUCUCGCACUGCGCUUCCCAGGGGGGGGCCCCGCGCCCCUAGCGCUGGAGGCAGCAAACAGAUGGGUAGAUCUAUGUCAUAUGGGAUUCUAAUAUACAGGUCGCGGGCUAUUCAAUGAUCUGAAAUCAAAGAGCUCUCUUUUGGGGAAAUGAGAAUGCUAAAAGAAAUGAAAAAUUAAUAAACAGGACAAAUUCGCAGGUAAUUCUAUACCAUUGAAAUCAUCCUUUAUCGGAGGAAUCGUGAAGUCCGCGAGUGCAGACUGUCUCCGGCGAGAAAAUCGUGCUGAUUGGUCCAGACUAUCAAGGAUGCAUGCGUCUUUAUCUUUUCUACCCAUCGUGUUAAUUUGGGGAGAGGGGGUGUACAAUGGCCCCAUGGAAGGGACGGAGAGUAAAAUAUUCAUGAUCAGAGAGUGCACAGCUUGGAGAAAAAUUCUGUAUUGAACUAUAGAUAUUGUUCCUUUGAUUUUGAGAUGUGGGUGUUGCUUAAGACAGCUUGUUUAAGAAAAGUCUUGUCAAUAAUGCAACUACUCAAAUUGCUCUUAAUUACGUAAGUAAAUUAAGUUACUUCCCUUUGGCCGUUACAUUACACAGGCAUUAUCUCAUGUGUGUUUGUGUGUUAAUAUUCUACUCCUGAGCUCUCAAAAUUUUAAAAUUUUCUGUAUUGGCUUUUAAAGAGAAGCAAACACCGUAAGAUCUGUCAAGAAACAAAAGAAUUGGCGAAUCAUUUACCCCGAGACUUCCCCAAGUGAUGAUACAUCGCUCAUCCAAUAUUUGUUCAACCUCUUCAUCAUAAUGUGAUUUCGCACGAGAAUUCGGUAUCAUUCAUGUUAAUUUGUUGCUAUCAAUCCUAACAAUAUGAAAUUGCGACAAUCACAGUAUUUUUUUUAAUGGACCAUAUUGAACUAAAAUACUUGUUUAUGCUGAACCCUUUUGGAAUAUUUUUUAAGCUUGGGUUUAAAGAAGCUGGGUGGUCACCAAAUUAAUCAUCAGAUCCUCCUUAAAUUUUAGAUGCGAUUUGUUAAGUAUAAGCUAUCAUCUCAUGGAGAAAAAAUCUAAAUAUUUUUGCUUUGAAAUAUGAAUAUUUUGCUAUAUUUUUAUACAGAACUCUUCCUCUCGGGGAGAUGAAAACAGUCUAAAAAUGGACACGACCAUCCCACCCUCUUAAUACAUAUAAACAUUUUUUAUUUGUUAAUCUUUCGAUAAAUAAUAGUUAUACUGCUGUAUUUUCACAAAACAAAAGUUUUUGAAUGGAUAAUAUUUAUGUAAAAAAAAAAAAAAUCACAAUAAGGGAAAAAUGAUAAGUAAUUAAAUAAUAAAUUUAUAAAAUAACAUUAUUUGAAAAAAAAUAUAACAACAAUACAGAUUUACACUGCAUUAGUCCAGACUAAUUUUAUUUUGUCCAUACUUUAUAGACGGUGUAAAAAAUGGUUUGGUACAAUGAUAAAAACGUGUGAGAAUGUAAUGGUCUUAUUAUUGAAUAUUCUGCGAUCAAAAGAGAUAUUGAUUGAAUAGUCAACUAUGCACAUCAAAAUAUAGUUAAUGCACAAAUGAAAUCAAUGCACAAUUAAAACUUUUUAAAAUAUAAUAAAAUCAGGUUUUUUUUGCAUUAAACGCAUUUUUAUUUAAAUUUUAAGAUCUGUUUAAAAUUGGUUUGUGCAAAAAUCAAAACAAUAUGCGUAUUUAAUGUAGUAAUACUCAUCCGUCACACAGAGAACUUGUCAAACAAUAUUAUAAUACAUUAUGAAUAUAAAGUUCAAAUUGACUGACUUCCGAAUUCAAUUUUAAUAAAUAGACGAGCAAACACUGUCAAUCUGGGCCAACACAAAUUUGAAACCAAAUAAGUUCUCUGAAUAAAUAUUUGUACAAGCAAGACGGCAAACGUCUUCUCCGUGGUGUAUUAGAAGGUUUCAGAGUCUGUUUACAUUGUAAAAUAAUCUCCUCAUACAAAAUGAAGACUUCCAACAUCAAAAGCAAAGUCAUAUCGGAACAGCACAACCUAGCGAGGAACCACAAGAAAUCAAAACAUAGCCUGUCAUUCAAGGCUUAAUUUCCCGCAGAUCUUAAAGACCAUGAGAAGAAAAAUCACCAAUUUUUGUGCGAGAGUUUCGUCAUUUUUCUGAUAAGUUAGUUUGUUCUUCUUGUUCAAAAUAACGCUUGUUUUGCCAUUUUGUAACUUGAAGCCGAAGGAAAAAAAUUCGUAUAGAAUGUUCAAUUUUUAAAAAAAAUUUCAAACGUAAACCUAAGAAUUUUCCCAGAGAGUUUCGAUGUGUUUUCUGUUUGAUAAAUGCGAAGUUGUCCCAAAUUAGAUUAAAUAUGAUUUGUGGAAAGAAUGAUAAUAGAUGUGAUGAACGCGAAAACUAAUUGAAUGAACAUGGCGGCGUGAUGGCGAUUUUUAUAAGUUGUGGUUACGAAUUCAUGUAUUCUUAAUCUUCGUUCUAUUAGACUCUUACAAAAACCACCGAAUGUGAGUUAUAGUCUCUGGUGCUUUCUAUUGUUCUUCCUAGUAUCAUGGGUUUCAAUUGACCUCAACUUCAUCCGUCAAAGUCACAAGUGUGCGACUUGAGAAACCUCAAUUAAGAAAUAAUAUAUGACGUCGGGUUCGGGGUUCGAAGUAACAAGCAUCAAACAGCGCAGCUGGAGGCAAAAGACUCCCCCUUCCCUUUUCUCCCUUAUAAUGAAAGGUCAGUCUAAAAAAAGUUUAAUAUUCUAUACGGGUGAUACUAUUAGUGCACAUUGAAAAAAAAUCUGCAUCUUAAACGGCAUUUUUACAUUUGGGAAAAAAACUUAAAAAGAAUUCAUCUGGCUUGGUAAACGAAAAGCAAGCUAAGAAUUUCUCCUUAGCUCCUAGCGUCUUAUUGUCACAUAUCGAUGACUCAUUAAUUCAACCCUUAUUUAGUUUCCCCUCCAUUUCUCGCCUAGUCAAAAUACAAAUGAAAUUGAUACGAAAUUCUUCCUCGUAGAAAAUUAUAAGGUUCAAUUCUAUGCCAGAACAGCAUGUAUGGUUCAUAAUUAAAGUAAUAGCAGCCUCCGGAAAUCUAGAAUUGACAAGCGUCAACGAAGAUGCAAAUGUGUAUUUUUAAUUCAGUAUUGUUAACACUGCCACUCUAUGAAAAGCAUUUGAACUUUAUUUACAUAGAAAUAGAUACACGGCAUUUACGUUUUACGACUCCAUUGAAGGCCGAACAUUUUCCUCGAGGCACACCACUCAACUCCAAAUGAGAAAUAAAUUUUUAGAAACAAGAAUUGACGCCGCAAUUGUAGCUUCUGUUGAAGAGGAAAGAGACUGUUUAUUGGUUUAAUUUAAAAUGUACAUGUUUGACAAAGUUAUUGGCACACACUUCUAAUAGCCAUAAAGAUCUUUAAAUAAAAUAAAACGUCAUAAUUCAUAUUUUUUAAACGCCCAGUAUAAGAUUCAAGUGACCAUUUCUGAGAAGUGUAUUAGCUCACUUUAAUACCUAUAGGCAAGGGCAAAUACAAUCAAUUACGGAACUAUGAAUACUAGAAUUUCACAUUUUUGUUAAUUAUAUCAUGUUAACUUAACUUACAUAUUUCAAACCUUCUCAACCUUGCCUAUAAGGACAUAAAUAAUUGGAUUAUAAAAUUCAAUUCAAAUUGUGGUCUACAAAAGAAUGAUUCCCAGAGACAUGGAGAAACUGGGAUACCGGAGGAAAAGUCAUGUAAGUGGCUGUUUCACUUUCUUGUGUGGCCAAUUCUAUGCUUUACUUGCUUCGAGAACCAUACAAAACCCCCCAAGAGUCAUCAUUUCCACAGAAGCCGAACUUAUCUCCCUCUUUUUAUGAUUACAAGGGUCGAAUGAAGAUCGGAGCACCGACUCACCCCUUCUAACAGCUACUUCCGCAUAUUAAUAAAGCAGAUUUUUGCUAAUGAGUUGAAAGUGUGUUGAAAAUUGUUACUUAAGUUAUAAUGAUUAGUUUUCAGGUUCAUUGGCAAAGACAUCUCUAGAUGGUUUGAAAUUCUUUUACCCUUACGUAUUCGAAGCAACUCCAUUGCAUGAUGUUUUCUUUCUUGCAAUUGGUAUCCAAGAGUAGGUUGGCAUCGAUAUCUAAAAUCAAUUUUAUUUGAGACUAAUCAUUUUAACACUAGCCGAUGUCUUUGAUCCCUGCAACACUAAAAGGUGAGAAAAUCCCAAUCUCAAGUUACCCACGAUUGUUUGGGACGUCAAACAAAACAACGCGAGACUUUAACGAGAAGGUACGAGGCCUCUGUUUGGAAGGGCAGAUUAAAGUCCAGAUAGACCAUGUUAAUGAUCAACAAAUACACAGGACGCAAUAUGUAUAGUUUUGGUAUCAAUGUAUUGGUUGUACUUAAAUUGCAUAUAUAUCGGUAGAUCAUGAAAUGGUUGACAGUUCUGAUAACAUUGACACGGCCACCAACGAGAAAAAUCAACAUGCAGGCCCCUUUUGCACGUAUAUGACACUUUGAUACUAGCUAUGGGACCAAGAAAUCUGGUAUACCUUGCAAAUGUUAUAUUUGGAUGUUACACGAGAACAUAUUGAUUAAGUUUACUGCAAACUAUAUUUUCGUGAAUAAGUUACUAGUAUUGAAGUCUGUAAAUGUUAAGACAUCUAAAAUUAAUAUGACAUGUCGUAUUGCAUAUGUACAUGUUAAUCUAGAUGCCGUAUAGAUCGUAAUGUACCUCUUGAUGAAGAUAUCAUGCAAGCAUUGCUAAUUCAAUUACUAACGACAGGUCAUAAACCCAGAAUACAUAGGUCACAAUCUAUACGUUAUUAAAUACAGAAAUGAAAACAAAUUUGAUGUUUAUUCAAUGAAACAACUUAACUAAAACGCGAUGAUUACAGGGUUGGUUUAAAUAAUUGAUGGUUUUAUCAAUUAAUAUAUCGUAAAUCUAGAAUGACAAGAAUGAUUUACGGAUAAACCACAUGCUGUUAAUAGAUAUCAGUAACCGGUUUUGUUUUGUUUUUUAUUUUUGCCAUAUGUGACAGUUUGCGUAUGUUGCAAGCUGAUGCGACAUCGUGCUGCUUCGGUUAAGGUAGCCUUUCUGCUUCAGUAACACAUGAGCCGAUUCGCUCAAGUUUUGGAAUAUCAGACUACUCAUAGUGAAUAAUUUAACAAAUGAAGUCCGCAGGAGAGGAUUCUUUUGGAAAAAAAACCCCCAUUUUUUGAAUUAAGUAUACAAAAUUGACAUCACAUUUAUAUAAAAAAAAACCCAUUUUUUCGUAUUUGUUUAUUUUUAUAUUAUCUAUAUCACAUUGUCAAGGUCUAUUUAAUCAAACUCUAUACAUGGUAUGUGAUUGUAUAGUUUAACAGUACUUUUAAAAUAUAUUUUAGAUAUUAAAUUAAAGCGUAAUUUCAUUUUUACAUUUAAUUUUGAAAAAUGCCAUUGUAAAAUAGUUUACUUAUAAAAGAAACUUUUUUUUUAUAUGUUUGGUUCGAUGAUUUAUUUUUGAAUGCAAUUGAAUGCAUAAUGGUUGAUAAACAAAAAAAAUGAAUCAACUUAAAAUACUAUAAAAUCCCCAGAGAAGAUGAGAUAUUAUCAUAAUAGUUUCAAAUCAUAUAGUUAUUUUUUUAGUGAAAAAAAAACCCAUUUUGAUACACAUAUCUCUUAAGGGAGAAAACAAAAUGAAAACCCGUACAUUGAACUUAAAGAGUGUCGCUGUAAAAAUAUAGAGUUUGAACCGAAUGUGUAUAUUGUAUGGACUGUGUUCUGACUGGGAAAUCUUUCAAAAAUGUUAUGAAAUUCAUAAAUGAACCAAAACAAUGAAUUUCUGGUUCACUGUCUUAUUAAUUAAAACUUUUUGUGAAUAAUUAAUCAAAAGAUAAAUAAAUUUCUUGGUCAAAUCAACGUGAGAGAUAAAUUCUUUGUGUCACAUUAUUAAAUACAAAAACAGCAUGCUGUAACUGUCAUAAACCACUGGAAUUUACAUAGGGAUUUGCUCAAACAAUUCACACUUUAUGGAAAAAAUUUGUUCAUUUUUUCAAUCUGUAAAAUAUAAGAUCUUAUGAAAUCCUUUGAGAUUUUGAUUAAAAUAUAUAUUAAUUUAUGUGAUGAAUUGAGAUUUUUUUUUAUUUUUCUUUAAACUAUAGUUUUGAAUGUUUUAAAAUAAUUUUAUUACAUUAUUUUAAUGCAAUUCAAUAAUCUUUGAACAUAAAUGAUGUAGAGUAAUAUACCAGCAAUACAAAAAAACCCCGGUAAGGUAGAGUUGCGUGUCUAAAAACAAUUUUCCAUUGUAGAUCUUUCAAUGGCUAUUUUAAAGGUCGUCUCGAAAAUGCGUCAAAAGCAAAACUGGGUGCAUGUCGUGUACAUUGUUGUCCCAUUGAGAUUUUACUUAUCACACAAAACAGAGAACAAUAGAUCGUGGACCCCCUCUCUCCCACUUUAAAUAGUACUGAUUAAAAAAAAUAAUAAUUGUAAACAAUCAGCCUUGAAGUUUUCUCCUAAAGGUGCCUUCAAAGGAAACCUUAUGGCCUUAUGUGAUAACAAUUUCAAAUAUUUAAAAGCUGUCUCGUAUUUGAAAGACCUAAAACGACAAAAAAAAAGGAAUGUCGAUCAACCGUGAAGAAAAAAAUUACCCAGCUGGAGUAAUUACUCAGGAUCAUCUCUGAACAAACGAUUUCAAAAUAAUUGCUCAUUUCAAAGACAUUAAUUCGUUUUUAUUAUUCAAUUAAAACAUCACUGUACAGAAGUUUGAUUUUUGGAUGUAUACUGACAGUCAGCAAACAGAUUUAACGCCCAUUUCUUUGAAGAAAUGUUAUCUGUACAAUGUAAGGAAUCUAAGAGUUCUCCAGAUUGUGUUUCAAACACACUUUUUUGUUUUAUUGCCAUCCUCAGGAGCUAAAUGAUAACAACUUGGGCAUAAAAUUAGCUUUCUAUCGUCCGAAACUCUCACUAAAAUCUGUCUUAAAUCGUGCAUGGUCACCAAACUUCACAAGAAAAGGAAACUGUAGACUUCAAACAGCGCACGUGCAGAAUUAUGUAAGAAAAUACCCUUCAUUUUAAGUUCUAUAAAUUCAAAAGAGCGUUGAAUCAUUGGAGUUUGUUAUCGUACAUGAAAACCGUAUUACCGAUAAAGAAAACACACACACAUCAAAUAGACAAGGGGAUUUUUUCCUCCGAUUCAUAAGAUGGUGACUAGCACCAAGGGUUUACAUUUUGUUUGCAUAAGUCAGUUGAUUGGCAAAAUAGAGCGAUAAAAUUUGCUCUGAUUAGAAGGGAAAAAAUAAAGUACAAAAUUCUGUAUCAACAGACAUAAUUCACGAAGUCUAGAUUCUUUGAAAAAUUGCACAAUGUUUCCAUCAGUCAGGCCAAUGAAAAUACAUUUUUUUUCUUGGUGCAUGUUAUUUCAAAAUGAAUUUCUUGCCUAUUAUUUAAUUCCCUUUUAGAAAAAACUAAACACAUGUUGAAAAUAGAUUAAUAACUUAGUUAAGUACGUACUAAAUUAUUCAUGUGUCUCGGAGAUUGUCCCAUUCCUGUAAGGUGGCUCGGUGGUCAACGAAUUAACCAUCAGAUCUACCUAAAAUUUUAGGGUUUGCUUCGCUGUAAACGAUAUUUUUUUCUUCUUAUUUAAAUUUGGGUUUAUUCCUAUAUUUUAAUAUAGAGCUCUUCUUCUAAAGGAGGUUAAUACAGUCUAAAAAGACCACGAGCAUCGAGCCCUCUUAAUGUAUAUGUUUUAUAAUAGAUCCUUUUUUACUCAGUACUUUGUGUUGUGACUCAAAGUUCUUGUCAUUUCCAAUAAACGGCAAUGUCUGUACAACUAUCCAUGUUUUGCUCUUGUGCUUUAAAUGGAAUCAAUGAACAUUUAUUUGUUAAUUAAAGAAUAAAAUAAUACAACUGUUUAUGUCGAAAAGGAAAUAUUAGUAUUAUAUAAGUAUUUAAGUAUAAAAAUUAAUUUUCAGCUUUAGCGCAAACCAUUUCUCAGAAAUACAAUUGUUGACGCUUUUAAAGUUUUUCAUAUAGAAAUGACGUUUUUAUUCAACGUCAUUGGUUUUGAUUUUCAUUUUAGAUUCAAUAUAAUAAAAAAAAAUUCCUGCACUUUAUUCUUCUUAAUUCUAUAGAUCGGAACCAUCAUAUUACUAUUUAUUGUCCUAAUUUAACCAUACAGGUAAAUACGCAUAGUUUUGCAGUACCUGACAUAUUGUUUUUUCAGUUUCAUUAUAGGCUGUCAAGCUAUUAAAUUUUGACAGAUCUUCUUUUUUCUAA